rnacentral:RNase_MRP_RNA from 1 species
CCUUGGAAAGUCCCCUCGCCCUCGAGCGGAAAGACCCCGCGCUGCACGCGACCGAUCGGAUCUUGUUCUCGUUGACAAUGGAAGCGCGGUGAGCGGCCGUGGGGGC